rnacentral:rRNA from 1 species
UACGGAGGUGGCAAGCGUUGUUCGGAAUUACUGGGCGUAAAGGGCGCGUAGGCGGCUAGGCAAGUCAGAUGUGAAAGCCCCGGGCUUAACUCGGGAAUUGCAUCUGAAACUGCUGGGCUUGAGUUCUGGAGGGGGUAGUGGAAUUCCCAGUGUAGCGGUGAAAUGCGUAGAUAUUGGGAGGAACACCUGCGGCGAAGGCGGCUACCUGGAUAGAAACUGACGCUGAGGCGGCGAAAGCUAGGGGAGCGAACGGG